CCCCCCCCCCCAUCCUUGUCGAGGGCGCACCCAUCUACAGGGUCCGUAGGAUUUUGGACAUGCGUCCUCGGGGCCGUGGUCAUCAGUACCUAGUAGAUUGGGAGGGGUACGGUCCUGAGGAGAGGAGUUGGGUUCCCUCUCGGGACGUGCUGGACCGUGCGCUGAUCGAGGAUUUCCUCCGUUGCCGCCAGGUUUCCUCCUCGAGUGCGCCAGGAGGCACUCGGUGAGUGGGGGGGUACUGUCAUGUAUUGUCAUGUUGUGUCUUGUUUCUGUCCUUUCCCUUCACCCUGUCUCCCUCUGCUGGUCGUUAUUAGGUUACCUUUUCUCCCCCGCUUUCCCCCAGCUGUUCCUUGUCCCCUCCUAACUACCUCGUCACCCCUUUUCCCACCUGUUCCCUUUUUCCCUCUGAUUAGGUCCCUAUAUCUCUCUCUGUUUCUGCUCCUGUCUUUGUUGGAUUCUUGUUUGUGUGUCUCAUGCCUGAACCAGACUAUCAUCGUGUUUGCUGCAACCUUGUCCUGUCCUGUCGGAAUCUACCUGUCCAUCUGAGCCCACGUGUGUUCAUCAUUAAAGAAACUCUGUUUGUUAAUUCGCUUUUGGGUCCUCAUUCACGCACCUGACACAAUCAGCAUUCAGGGCUCGAACCACCCAGUUUAUAAUAGCAAUUGUAGGUGGAUGCAGUUAAAUAAACAGCUGACCCGCACACACCACUAGACCAGAGGGUUUUGCAGAACAGUAUGGUGAAUCAUAGGUUCCAUCCAAAGGUACCCUAUUCCCUACAUAGUGCACUACUUUUGACCAGAGCCCCUCGUUAAUAAUAGUGCACUGUAUAGGAAAAAGGGUUCCAUUUGGGACGCUGACAUGCUGU
rnacentral:lncRNA from 13 species